UGGCACUCUUGCCCACUGCAAUCAAACAAAGUGACACUUGAGUUUAACAGUUUCAAAAUGUAUACUAUGAAAGUGCACAGAUCAACAACCACCUUCAGUAUCCAUAGCUCUUCUUUGGAUCAAGCAGUACACCAUAUUUGAGCUUUGCUUGUGAAAAGUAUAAAGGGUCAAAAGCAGCGUGAGCUGAUCCCAGUCAAGAGGUUCUCCAUUCACAAUAACAUCUUCUGCUGGCAUGGACCCCAUUACUCUAAGCACACAGUUGCGACAAAACUUUGCACUGCAAACAAUGCAAACCUCCCUCUCAGUUAGACGACUCCCUUUAAGACAUCGAUAGCACGAACCCUUCUUCCCAACUCUCUCGGCAUGCGGCCUCACACGUUUACUAUUGUUGCUACUACUUUCUCCACCUGCAGGUUCAACAAUCUCUUCAUCCUCCACUAUCUCAUUUGUCUCAGGAUUACGAAAAGUCACCACGGAGGGCCGUUUAACAUGUUUUGGGUUUAAAGGGUCGUCGUCAUCAUCAUCAUGAUCCUCUUGUUCGCGAGACAGUGGAUCAGAAGAAACAGAAGCAGUUUUUGAAGCCAAUUCUGCAUUGGUUUUUCUAAAGGGUUGGAUAACUGGGAGGGACAAGUUGUGAGGAGGAGAAUGAGCAACAGGCGCAAACGGGACUUGGUCAAGGUUGAAAGGAAGAACUUCUGGGACGGAGUAGCCAAGAGGAGGGCCUUUGUAUUCCUCAGCAAAAGAGUACUCAUAGCUGAAAUCACCACCAGCAUCAUGAACUGAAGGCACACCGGGACGUAGAUUUUUCAGAAGCGAAGCCAUGUACGGUAAUAUAUCAUUCCAGAGUAAAACUUUCAAAAACCAACUGAAACAAACCUUUUCACUCUGAUCAAAUCAACACAACUUGAUGCUGCUUAUGCUGUUCCUCCACCGCCACUCAUUUUCUGUGACGUAAUAUCUGAAUUAGGAAACAGCUAAGUGAGUGGCAAUUGGUAGAGAGUAUAUGAAGAAGACUUGCGAGGGAAAGAGUGGCAAAUGUUUUGGUUUAUCGAACAACGUAUUCAAAACGUUGGAAUGGAAAUUGCUGAGAAAAGAAAUGGACAACAACGACGGCGUGGAACUUUUCAAACUACACCAACAGCUAUGGUUCGUGUGUUUAAUCCUUAAGUAUCUGUUGUCAUGUCACCUUUGAAUAAUUGAAAAGCAUUUUUAUGUAUAUUAAUAACUUCCUUUGAAUGAAAAUGUAAUUUGCUAAAAGAAAGGAACAAGUCAAUGGAAAUUGACACAUGCCCAGUUAUAUAUUUUAAAAGCAUAGUCAACAACACCUCCAAAAAAUAUAUAUAUCUAUGAGUGGCUAGUAUGAUUAAAUAUACUUAAUUAUAACGCGUUCUGGUUUUCCAUUUCUCUAGAAGGACCGAGUUUUACAGAAUUCAGGUAGAACAUUCCUCUCAGAAUAGAUAAUAAUAAACUUUCUUUUUUGUCUAUUUUUUUGACUAACCUUAUCUAAACUUGGUUUAAUAGAAAGUGGUAAACUUGGUAUGAGGUUAUACCGAUGAUUAGCAUAGUCUCCACAUGCCUUUACACGAUGAGUGUAUAUAUUUUAUUUACUCGAGGUUAUUGGUAGCGAAUAGUAACAAAAUUUGAUUGAUGAUUCAUCAUCAAACAUAUACUUCAAAACGAUUUGGUGUCAAAUUAAGAGAAGAAAAGAAAAACCAAACAGGUGAUUUUAUUAGAAAUAUGAAGGAGCAGUAUAUAUAUAUAUAUAUAUAUAUAUAUAUAUAUAUAUAUAUAUAUAUAUAUAUAUAUAUAUAUAUAUACAUAACACACAUGAUUCUAACUUUGAAAGGAAGAAAUAAAGUGAGUUAAGCAUUUAUUGCUUUCUUCAAGGGCUAAAACAUUGAACAAGCAUGGAAAGUGAAGCCUCCGAAAAGAGCAACCUUGGCUUGUUAACUUGCAUGGGUUUGGCAGCAAGUUCAGCCAACCCAGAUGAGUUCUGAACCAUUUUCUGGAGGGAUUGAGCAGAUUCGUGUUGAAUGGAAGCAGCAUCUUUUUCCCUUAGCUUGGACUGUUCGCUUGUCCAUAUAUCCACCAGUGCAGACAUGACUUGAAAUCUACCGAAUUAGCAGCAAAAACUGAAAAUCAAUAAUCAGAGAGCUGGUAUGAAAAAUAAGUGACUGAAAUUGAGAUGACAGCAAAAACAAGAAAGAGACUUCUGGUAAUGUUUAGUUUGAUGUGAGAAGUAUGUUUGAAUAUAUAUAUAUAUAUAAGGUGAGUGAGGUCAUUGGGGUGUUAAGAUUGAGAUAAAGUGAAGCGUUAUUUGGAAACUGUGUUCUUUUUGUGAGUUUGAAACUGAAACGUAAAACAGGAACUAGAAUCUUAGAUUUCAUGUUAUUAUAUACGCAUGAAAAUCUGAUGGCGUGAAACCGUGUUGCAGCAUGAAAGAUAAACAACAUGCGUGGCACUUGUGGAAGUGCCACUUGCCUCAGAGCAGGGUACGAGAUUCUUCUUUUGGAUCUGUGUGCGAUUGCUAAUUUAAACAAUUGGGAAAAAGAUCCUCUCCGGUUAAAAAAGAAAAACUGGAUCAAAUAUCUAAUAUUUUGGUGUAGUUUUACGUGAUAGAGGUUUUUGAAUUGAGUUAUUGAAUGUUUAAAAUAAUAUUUUGAUUUUUAUUUCAACAGUAAAAUACUAAAAAAUAGAAAAAUAUUAAAUAUUUAGAAAAUAUUUUUCAAUAAGAGUUCAAUUAAAAUUAUUCUAAUUUAUGAAAUACUUAAAAUUUAAUUAAAGUAUUUUUAUUUGUUUAUUUUUGGUUUAAUACAUCAUUUGGUCCCUACUUUUGGGGGUUUUGUUCAAAAUUGUCCCAUCUUUUGAAAAAGUUUAGUAAGGUCCCAUAUUUUGAUUUAAAAUGUUCAAUUUGGUCCUUUUCGUGGACGGCGUUAGAAACUUAACGAUAGUAGUGCCACUGUGGCGAAAUUUGAGUGAGCUGUUAUGUUUUGAUGGUUACGUGGCACUAUAAAUUGGGGAAAUAUCCUAAAUUGGGGACCCUAAAGUGGAAAUUAGAAUCAGAAGCCCUAAAUUGGGGAAAAAUCCCCAAUCUUCUCCUGCUUCUUCAUUUCUACUCCCUGCAACCUCAUCCAGACUAGACAUACCUUCUUCACAUUCCGAAUCAGCACUACAGCAACUACGGUGAACACUCUUCUUCUACUUCUUUUUCUCCUUUGCUAGACGAUUGAUUUCAGCUUUUGCUUGGUUCAGCAGCCACUCCAUGGUAUUGCUAGCUUUGUCAAAGCCCAACAUAUCUUGCAAACCAAAAAACCUCCUUGCAACAUUAAGAGAAAGUCUCAUUCUCCUAUCCCUUAGUCCCUUGCGGUGCUGUUGGAGGGAAAUAUGAGCAAGACUAACCGGUUGAGGGUCGGGGUUUUGAUAUUGGGGAUUUUUCCUUAAUUUAGGGUUUCUGAUUCUAAUUUAGGGUUUAGGGUUAUUAAAACUUUAGGGUUUUCCCCAAUUUAGGAUAUUUCCCCAAUUUACAGUGCCACGUAACCAUCAAAACAUGACAGCUCACUCAAAUUUCGCCACAGUAGCACCACCACUGUUAAGUUUCUAACGCCGUCCACGAAAAGGACCGAAUUGAACAUUUUAAACCAAAAUAUGGGACUUUACUGAACUUUUUCAAAAGGUGGGAUCAUUUUGAACAAAACCCCCAAAAGUAAGGACCAAAUGAUGUAUUAAACCUUUAUUUUUUUAAUAGGUAAGAAAUAGAAGGCAUAACGCAUCAGCGUAUUCCUGGAGCCUUUGUUUUUAAGCGAGAUAGAUGAUGAAAUUGAAAAGAAAGGACUUUCUUUUCCAAUUAAACCCAGGAGAAUCGUCCGGUCAACUUCUUGUAAGAGGCAAAUGAAGGCUUAGAGAAAAGAGGAAAGUGAUAGAAUAUUGGGAUGCAUACGAAGGCAACUUUAGGUACAUGUAUGGGAGUGGAUAAAAAAGAAUAAAAGAGCGGAAAUAUGACAAAUGGAAUUGAAAGUUACAAAUUUCGUCAUAAGCUCCAAUCUCCAAGUAAAAACCGCAUAAGCUGGUCUUCGUUGCUUCAAACCGAUGUGCGCUAGCCAAUGAGAAACCAAACACGCUGCAAUUACAUGAGAGAUUAGCAAUGCGCAAUUGAUUACUUGACCUAUCAACUGAUAAAUGAUUACACGGAUACGUGUAAUACAUCCUGGACGUGAAUUUAGCAAUAGUAUGAUGCUCCAGCCAGAAACAAAACAUUCUUUCAGCCUUCAAGAGCUGAGGAUCCAAAACGUGCUCCUCAAUCAGUAUGGCUAUGCAAGUUGCAGGAGCUAAAAGCUACACUACACUGUUUAAACCAGGAGGGAAGGAAGGCAUGGUAAUCCUUGUUCAUCUCCCACGAGACCAGCUGUGAGCCUGGGACUUCACUGUGGGAUGGUAGAUGAAAGUCCACAUGUAAGGUGAAAAAUAGUAACUCUGCCUCGACAAAAGCUGAAAUCAAGAGGACGGCAGAAGCUACACAGUUUGGCCCUGGAUAGAUCAGUGAUUGUGAUCAGCGAAAUACUUCAACAAAUGGCUUGAUUAAUGGGACCUGCAAAAACUUUGUUCUGGUGGCUUCCUGCAUCACCAGGAAAAAAUAGCUGGCCUAAGGACCUAUUCCUCAGCGUGGUCAACGGAACGAGGCUUGAGGCCGAUUCUUGCAUAAUAUUGGGAAUGAGACUUAAGAUGCUCCAGUCUGAGGAACCUCUUGAAACCUCAGAUCCAUGGUGUCCAACCUUCGUACAUGUUGCAUAGAUUAUCUACACUAGUGGCUUGCUUUAGUAGAUAAUCUACUUGCUCUGCAAUAUCAAUUUCUCUGCAAUCCAAAGAAGGCCCAACAUUAAUAAAACAAUUCAGUAGAAGAUUUUGUGAUUGCGAAAAUAUCCUACCUACCUGCUUUCAGAGAUAUCUCGACCAUCAAUUUUCAUCUCAACCCGCCUCAAUACUGACAAGGCAUAACCAUUUUUACCUAGCAUAAAGUUCAAAUAUCCACAGAUGAAGAAGAGCAUGUCAAUUCCUUUACAUGCAAUCACAUAAGAAAUUAUGAUGUCUGAACGACAUAGUAAUAAUGAGGUACUAGUAGGCGUAGAAGAUUACUUGGUGGUUUUAUUACUGUUUCUUAUUUUUUAUUUUUCAAAAAAUACAGUUCAUGAAUAUCAUUGGAUAUCAAAA